rnacentral:rRNA from 1 species
AUUGAACGCUGGCGGCAGGCCUAACACAUGCAAGUCGAACGAGUGGCGGACGGGUGAGUAAUGUCUGGGAAAAUGCCCGAUGGAGGGGGAUAAAUACUGGAAACGGUAGCUACUACCGCAUACCAUCGGAUGUGCCCAGAUGGGAUUAGAUAGUAGGUGGGGUAACGGCUCACCUAGGCGACGAUCCCUAGCUGGUCUGAGAGGAUGACCAGCCACACUGGACCUGAGACACGGUCCAGACUCCUACGGGAGGCAGCAGUGGGGAAUAUUGCACAAUGGGCGCAAGACUGAUGCAGCCAUGCCGCGUGUAUGAAGAGGGCCUUCGGGUUGUAAAGUACUUUCAGCGAGGAGGCGUUACUCGCAGAAGAAGCACCGGAUAACUCCGGGCCAGCAGCCGCGGUAAUUC